GAAAAACCAUAUCAUAAUCAUUGGUGAGGCUAGAAUAAAGUUGAAAAUAAGAGGAAACACAAAUGAAUAGGGUGACAAAAUAAAAAGGUAGAGAUGUGUAACCUUCAAAAGAUCAACUUAUAUCAGAAAUCACUUUAUCUGUACAUUUGAUAGAUAAGAAUGAAAAUUACUCAUAAAAGAUAGAAAAAAAAAGAAGAAAAUAUGACAAUUUUUCAGCAGUACGUAUUUUUUUCCCCUUUGUAUUUUGUUUAUACAAUCAUAAAGUGAAUAUGAACCAGAGAUUUCUAUUAAAUAUUUCAAAUAAGUACAUCCUCAAUUAUAUAAAUCAAUCAAACAUGUAAUGAGUAACAAACCUUGACAUUAAUUAGUUUAGAAAGAUAUGUAUUAAACAUCAAAAUUAAUUAAAUAUAUACUUAUAUCCUUAAGAACAUAAAAUGUCAUCUUCUAUAUUCCGAGAAUUAAACAAUUAACAUAAGUUAUACAGAUUAAAAAAUAUGCUAAAAUACUAAUUAUAAGUAGAAAAUGAAAACGAAAAAAAGAAAAUAGAAUAAUUACAAGAAAAUGAAAAAGAAAAAAAGAAAAUAGAAUAAUUACAAGAAAAUGAAAAAGAAAAAAAGAAAAUAGAAUAAUAACAACAAAUUUAAAAUGAGACCGUAUGGUAUAAAGGAAACUAACUCAAUA
rnacentral:lncRNA from 1 species